UUUCCAGAUCUCUACAUGUAUGCCGUCCUCGUGUGCUGUGUGGGCAUCCUCAGUGUCCUGCUGUUCACCCUGGUCAUCAUCUGCCAGUCUGUGUUCCACAAGAGGAAGUCCAGAGUGAGACAUUAUUUGGUGAAAUGUCCUCAGAACAGCCAAAGAUCACCGAGGAGAACUUGACCUAUGCCGAGCUGGAGCUGACCAAGCCGCCCCGGGCUGCCAAGGGCACCCCAACUAGCACUGUCUACGCUCAGAUCCUCUUUGAGAGAACAAGCUGUAGGCCCCAGGUCCCUGCAUCCCCACUGCCCAGUUAUUUAUGAAACCUCGGGGGACACAGCCCCUCCUGUGGUUCUCUCCAUUGUGCCAGUGUGUGUUGGGGCCCCUUCCCAGUGGCACUCCUGGUCCCGCCACAUCAGAGUGACUCUGCCCUCCUCAAGGACAGGUAGCUCUACGCCCCAGCCCCAGGCCGAGGACGCUGCCUGAGUGUACCUGGGAACACUGUCUGCUGAGCCAUCCCAUCCACAUCUCCUCCUCCUCUCCUGGAUUUUAAUUUGUUAAAAUCUUUUCUAAAUCUUAAUUUUAACCUUCCACACUGCCAGUAUACGUGAUACCAAGCUACAGGAAAUGCCAUUAUAAGCCACAGCAUGAGACAAUAGAUACAUAGUAAUUGGCUUUCAGAGACCCAAAUGGCAUCAUCAGAGCACCCCGGGCCCAGCAAGCCAAAGAUGGCAGCAGCUACUUCGAUGGCAUCCAUUGUUUAAAAUAGAUGUGCUGAUCCUAGUAAGUAUGGAGGGGCCAUGGGCGAAUCUGAGGUCUCAGAGAACUCUGUACCUGCCAGCCUACGACAAUCCAGAGGCCACAGGCCAAGUUCACCUUUCUGAAGGCCUCACCAGGGAGUUUGCCACCAAUGGACUGUGGAGCAAGCGGCCUUGCCAAAAUGUGCCACACUGUCUUCUCCUUCCGGUCUCCACUGUGGGAAAGCGAAGUCUUCCCCCAGGUCCCCUCAAGGAAGGAGCAAAGGACACACACACCACCCUGGAGCCUGUGUCUCAAGGGCCCUUCUCUUGCCAUGCGCCUUGCCCGCCUCCACCUCGUCUGUGAACUCAAAUGGGGUUGGACAGGUGCAGGGCUGCGUGGCCUUGCCAUGCAUACGGGAGCUGGGACUGGUUGAGCGCCAUCCCUUCUGCACAUGGUGCUGGUCCCUACUGUUCUGUCUGUGAGUGUACUCUGGGUGGCCAUAGCCUGCACACACACUAUAUAUAGAAAUGAUUUGUCUAUGUAGUAUGCCGUAUAUAUGGGACAAGUUAUCUAUUUUAAACACAACCAGGGUGUGGGUUGUGUCCCGCUAUAUCACAGUGUGACUUUGGAUUUCUUAUCCAUUGAGAGCCUUGGGUUCUCUGUGAGUGCAAAGGUAACCUAAUCUCUCCUAGAAUUCUUGAGGGCAUAAAUAAGGUAGUGAGUACAACCGGAUUCUGAAGACUGAAUCCUUUCACCGAGAAUGGCUGUUGAUAUUCAUGUUAAAGCCAGUCUUCAUUUCCACAGUGAAAAUUUCUAAGACUCAGUUCUUUAAAUUUAACCACUUACCAGUCCCAUUAUUUAAAUACACGAUGACCAAAAUUUGCAUUUUUUUUUGUUAAUUUUAAUAAGAUAAUAUAACAGGAAAUAUAAAAAUGACAAUCAAAUUUAUUCAGUGCAAGAAAUGACACCCGCCCUGAGGGAUGCUCGGGAUAAAUUGUUAAUUUGUUAAAAGCGGUAUCUCACAUGAAUGCUCCCAAAGACUCGUGAUCCUGUGACAGCUGCUCGUGAUUUAAGGAAAGGGUCCAAAUGAAAGCAGAUGCUGGUUUCCUGGAAGUAAAGACAGCCCACCUUGACAAAGUGGAAGUCCUCCCUCCUGGCUGAAACCUGUGUCUCCUUCCUGCUGCAGAUCUGAAAGACCGUGA
ensembl:lncRNA